AGUAAUACAUCGGAACGUGUCUUCUAGUGGGGGAUAACUGCCCGAAAGGGCAGCUAAUACCGCAUGAGACCUGAGGGUGAAAGCGGGGGAUCGCAAGACCUCGCGCUGGAAGAGCGGCCGAUGUCCGAUUAGCUAGUUGGUGAGGUGAAGGCUCACCAAGGCGACGAUCGGUAGCUGGUCUGAGAGGACGACCAGCCACACUGGGACUGAGACACGGCCCAG
rnacentral:rRNA from 1 species